AUAUCUCUCUGUACGGGAAGGAUGAGAAGCUUCGACUAAGGUUCGAUUCGAGCGCAGCGAGAAAGCGUUGCCGCAGGCAACGACCCGAAGGGCGAAGCGCGCAGCGCUGAGUCAUCCUU
rnacentral:sRNA from 1 species